rnacentral:lncRNA from 1 species
GUAGUGCCUGCAUCUCUUACUGCUGCGACACCCGGAGGACUCUGAGUCUUCUGUCGUAUACUUGCUCCCCUGCUUUUCUGUGUUUCGGUCAAUAACACCGCCAUGAACAAGAAGAAGAAGCCGUUCCUGGGCAUGCCUGCGCCGCUGGGCUACGUACCCGGGCUGGGCAGGGGGUAAGGCAGUGGGGGGGAGUUUGCCCCGGGUAGGGUGCCUGGUGCCCUGGAACACAGCUCGCUCUUGGCCUAUUUGAGAACGAUUCUGGACUAGCAGCCACUAGAGCUAGAGAGACCGCGUCUCAAAAUAAAACAAAAAACCAGGGGCUGGAGCUAGUGGCGCACGUCUCUAACCCCAGCAUUGUUGUGGGGGGUGGGUGGGAUGGGAUGGGGCAGGGGCAGAGGCCUUCGUUUUUAAGUUAAGAGACCAGCCUCGUCUACAUAGCGAAUUACAAAACAGCCAGGGCUACACAGCGAGUUUCAGGACAGCUAGAAUUACUUAACGAAACCUUGUCUCAAAAACAAGGUUAACUUUCACCGCCACAACUAGGUAAUUUGGCAUAAUGCCUUUCCGACAAAGUGGGUAUGCAUGUAUGUAUGUAUGUGUCGAAAUAUGUAGGUUCAUGAGGCCUGACUACCACUCUAAGAUAUGACUGAGGGGUCUGAAUCUCAGUGUCUUGGUGUCUGAAGUAAUAUCCGUAAGCGAGUUGGCUGUAAGAAGCAGUUGAGUCUUUGAUGUAUACAGUAAGAGUGUGCUAUACCUUUCUUCCCUUAAACAUUUUUCUCUAGGAUGUGUGGCUGUAGGUCACCUGUUCAAAUUCUCAGCCGUCUGGACAGAGAUGGCAGUGCCACUAGUCAUAAGGUGUUGGGUAGAUGAAUAGUAUUUUUCCUACUUUUUAUGCAUUUGAUUAGGGAAACAUAAGUCUUCCUUGGUAAUGGUAGGAGAAGGGAGGCAUUCACAGCCGUUUUCAGAAGACUUGCAGUUCACAAGACAAGUUCGGUAUUGGUAUAAAUAAGCACAAAAAGUAGGACAGAAGUCAAGAGAUAUUCAGCAGUGUGGCAUUUUAGUUGGGUUUACGAAGUGUCAGAUUUUGGGGGAGUAAAGGAAAAACGUGGAAUUUGGUAUAGGCACAUAAAAAGGCAAGUAGGUGGCUGGUGAAGUGGCUCAGAGGGUAAAGGCUCUGUCAACCCUGAGUUUGAGUUCCCAGAAUUCACGAGGUAGGAGGAGAGAACUGAUUCUCUGAAAUUGUCUUCUGACUUCUACAGAUAUGUCAGGUCACACGCACACACUAAAUAAAUAAAUAGUUUAAAAGGGCAGCUGAAGAUGUAGCUGAGCAGUACUGACAAAGCCCUGGGUUUGAUUCCAAUGUCUUGCCCAACCUCUUUAAAGAAUAUAAAAGGGAUUAGAGAGAUUCCUUAGCAGUUAAGAGCACUUACUGCUUUUGUAAAGGACUUGAGUUUGAUUCCUAUGACCCCUGUCAGGAGACUCACAGCUUGCUUAUAACUCCAGUUUCAGGGGACCUGAUACCCUCCACAGCCACCUGCAUGCAUGUGGUGUUGUUAAAUACACAGCUUCACACACAUACACAUAAAAAUAAAUG